rnacentral:rRNA from 1 species
UACAGAGGGGGCAAGCGUUGUUCGGAAUUACUGGGCGUAAAGGGCGUGUAGGCGGUCAGGUAAGUGGGAUGUGAAAUGCCUCGGCUCACCCGAGGCACUGCAUUCCAAACUGCUUGGCUUGAGUAUGGGAGAGGAUGAGGGAAUUCCUGGUGUAGCGGUGAAAUGCGUAGAUAUCAGGAGGAACACCGGUGGCGAAGGCGCUCAUCUGGCCCAAUACUGACGCUGAGGCGCGAAAGCUAGGGGAGCAAACGGG